AUAAUAUAGAUAAUUAAACAUUUAAUGAAAAAUUACAUUUGAACAACCUAAAAAAGUGCUAAUCUUGGGCUGUGGAAGAUUCAGCGUUGGCCAAGCCAGAGAAUUCGAUUAUUCGGGCUCUCAUAGGCAAUAAAAGCAUUAAAGGAAAAAUCAAUACAGUUUAUUUUGAUAAAUCCUAAUAUCGAUACGGACAAACAUCAAAAGGCAUGGCCGAUAAAGUGUAUUUCUUGCCAAUUACACCAGAAUAUGUCGAGCAGGUAAUACGAUCGGAGAGACCGGAUGGCGUACUAUUAACAUUCGGUGGACGAACUGCCCUUAACUGUGGCUAGAACUUGAGAGAAAUGGGGUGUUUGCGUACUACAAUGUUAAAAUUCUAGGAAGGCCGAUCGACUCUAUCAUAAAAACUGAAGACUGAAAAAUAUUUGCAGAUCGUGUUAAAGAGAUAAAUGAAAGAGUCGCACCACGUAUUUUGUUCAAGAGAUCGGCAGUUCUAUGAAGAGUAUAGGCGAAGUAAUGGCGAUCGGACAUAAAUUCAAGGAAACUUUUCAAAAGGCAUUGAGAAUGGUUGAUGAAAAUGUGAAUGGCUUCGAUCCUUAUGUGAUAGCAGUCAACGAUGAAGAAUUGGAAAAACCGACUGACGAAAGAAUGUUUGUUCUCGCUGCUUCGAUCAAGAAAACAUCGAUCGUACAAAACUUUCGCAGGACUUGCUGCUGGGCGCAAAGCAGAACGGUUUUUCAGACAAACAAAUUCCCGCUCUCGAAGAUUUGAAGAUGUCCGAAUUAGCUGUCAGAAUACAAAGACAGAAGAAUAAUAUUCGAUCAAUGGUCAAACAAAUUGAUACAGUCGCUGCUGAAUGGCCGCAGCCACUGUAAAUUAUAUAUCUUUAUCUAACGUACAAUGACAUUAUAUAGUCACGAUAUAGAAUUUCCUGGCGGAUACACAAUGGUGAUAGAAGAAUAUAAAUCGGAUCGACAGACAGACGUGCCGAACAAAAUUAUACAGCGAAUAUUACUUGCUGGAAUUCGUCACUCUUUAUCAUUUUGCAUCCUGUUCCUUAGUGCAAUUCAAGCCAGAAGAGAUCAACUAUAUAAUCAUAAGAAUUACGUCUCGCGUGACUGGAAACACAUCUCCUCGUGGAACACAAUCGGUGAUAGUACAAGGAACAUCAUAUCAACGAUGCCACAAAGAAACGAGCAUUGGAUAAUGAGAUUUUUUGGAAUGAAAAGUAACAUUGCAGAAUGUAGAUUAUGUGACUAUAAGAUAUCACUAUUCGAAUCCGUAGAAAAUAUGCGCAUUCAUUUAUUUUAUGUGCAUAACCCUGCCUGGAAAGAAUCUAUGGACCAAUUAACUAUCCCCUGGCCUCAUUUGAUUUGGUAUUACUUUUACAUAAGCGAUGAUGGCAACGCAAAAUGUUGUAAAGAAAACUGUCAAAUAACGUAUAAUUCCAGUUUAAAUAAGAUAGAAGAAAUGAAACUACAUUUUGUAGAUGCUCAUGUACCUCGACUUUCUGGCACAAUUUAUGAUUGGACAGUACCAUACUAUAGAAUAAUUGAACAAAGUGAGCGACACCAUCAAUCAUUAAAGAGAAAAUGCGAAAUACCUAAUUGUAAUUUUGUAUAUAACAGACACAUGGGCAGGACUGUAUUAUUAUUUGGGCAUUUGGUUCUUGACCAUAAUUUAAUACCUGACCGAUCAAUAAGAUUGUUCAAAGAUUUUUCUGGAAAUUUUUGUUUGCGAUAAUGAUUUACGGUGAUGAGAAGAUUAAUGAAAAGUUCAACAACAUGGACGCAGGUUUCGAAAGAAAUGAGGCUAACGUAUUAUCAUGGACAUGGACAAUAAAAUAAAAUAAGAAAUUUAUAUUUUUGACUUUAUCGCUUUAU